AUCCAGCUGACGUACGAGUCCCAAAUAGGACGAAAUCAGCGUUAUCCUGGAU
rnacentral:hammerhead_ribozyme from 1 species